rnacentral:rRNA from 1 species
GACGAACGCUGGCGGCGUGCUUAACACAUGCAAGUCGAACGGAAAGGCCCUGCUUGCAGGGUGCUCGAGUGGCGAACGGGUGAGUAACACGUGGGUGAUCUGCCCCUUACUUUGGGAUAAGCCUGGGAAACUGGGUCUAAUACUGGAUAGGACCAUGCUGUAGGUGGUGUGGUGGAAAGAUUAGUUUCGGUAAGGGAUGAGCUCGCGGCCUAUCAGCUUGUUGGUGGGGUAAUGGCCUACCAAGGCGUCGACGGGUAGCCGGCCUGAGAGGGUGGACGGCCACAUUGGGACUGAGAUACGGCCCAGACUCCUACGGGAGGCAGCAGUGGGGAAUAUUGCACAAUGGGCGCAAGCCUGAUGCAGCGACGCCGCGUGGGGGAUGACGGCCUUCGGGUUGUAAACUCCUUUCAGCCAUGACGAAGCCCUUGUGGUGACGGUAGUGGUAGAAGAAGCACCGGCUAACUAUGUG